rnacentral:misc_RNA from 1 species
GAAAUGCGAUACAUAAUGUAAAUUGCAGAAAUCAAGGAAUCAUCAAAUCUUUGAACGCACAUUGCACCUGAAGUAUUCCUUCUGGUACAUUUGUCUGAGUGUCCUUUUCUAUUAUUCUAUCUUAUGAUUCUAUAUUAAUCAUUUGAUGUUGAUAUGCAUGCAUCUGUUAUGUAUAUUUAAAAUUAUUUCCAAUAUGAUAAUAUCUUUUUCGUUUUGUUUUGUUGGUAAAUUAUUAUCUCUUUUUAAAUGUUAUCUAUUAUUAUUUUUUAAUAUCAGUAUAUUAUCUAUUAAGGAUUUUCAAUUAUUUCAAUAAAGACCUCAGAUCAAACGGCAUUACUCGCUGAAUUUAA